rnacentral:misc_RNA from 1 species
GGCUUUGUGAAGAGUCUGAGUGAGUCCACUCUUUAUGUUAAGCAUGCUGACAAAAAUCUUGUGAUUGUCUCACUUUAUGUAGAUGAUCUUUUAGUCACAGGAAGCAAUGAAGCUCUUAUUGAGCAAUUCAAGAAAGAAAUGACAAGGGUGUUUGAGAUGACAGACUUGGGAGCUAUGGCAUUCUUUCUUGGCAUGGAGAUUAAACAAAAUCAGC